GAUGAACGCUGGCGGCGUGCCUAAUACAUGCAAGUCGAGCGAACAGAUGAGGAGCUUGCUCCUCUGACGUUAGCGGCGGACGGGUGAGUAACACGUGGAUAACCUACCUAUAAGACUGGGAUAAAUUCGGGAAACCGGAGCUAAUACCGGAUAAUAUAUUGAACCGCAUGGUUCAAUAGUGAAAGACGGUUUUGCUGUCACUUAUAGAUGGAUCCGCGCCGCAUUAACUAGUUGGUAAGGUAACGGCUUACCAAGGCAACGAUGCGUAGCCGACCUGAGAGGGUGAUCGGCCACACUGGAACUGAGACACGGUCCAGACUCCUACGGGAGGCAGCAGUAGGGAAUCUUCCGCAAUGGGCGAAAGCCUGACGGAGCAACGCCGCGUGAGUGAUGAAGGUCUUCGGAUCGUAAAACUCUGUUAUUAGGGAAGAACAAAUGUGUAAGUAACUAUGCACGUCUUGACGGUACCUAAUCAGAAAGCCACGGCUAACUACGUG
rnacentral:rRNA from 1 species